GUGAGAGAAACUCUCCCUUUUCUCUCUCUAAAUAUCUCUCUCAUCUCUCUAUAUUUCUCGCCCAAAUUCGCGGCGUUGGUGGAGAUCGAGCUUGCGAACGCGUUGGAGGCGACGGAUUGAGCUUUCGUGCGCCCGUUGGAGCGACGUGUUUUCGUUGCGGCGUUCACAUUGGGGUAAGCUUUUGGGAUUUGGCUUAAUCCUUAGCUUUAAGAGUUCUAGUAGCCUCUAAUGAGCAUUCUUAGCAUGUUGCUCCAUUUAAUUUGGAUUAUUUGGAGGUUAUUUCAUGUUAGGGCUCAAAAAUGCUAAUUUUGAAAAUAUGAGGGUUUGAUCUAAUUUGACCCUCCGUAAACCUAAUUGCUAGGUCACUGAACGCGUUGGAAGCGACGAUUCGGUGAUUCGUCGAGCCGGUGCAAAGUUAUUAAAGAAACGGACGUUUAGGUUUCGUUUCCGCCUGGAGGGCCGAGGCGACGUCGUAAAAUCAUGGAAAUGGAUUUGAGGCAUCGUGGCACAUAACUAAAGACCUAUAAUUUUCGGGGCUGCGAAGCGGAGCACGGUUGAGGCGCAGUUGCAGUAUCGGGCCGUGCCGGAUACGGGUGCCGCGGGAGGCCGAUUGCAAGUGUCGACAAGCAAUCGGAACGCGAAUUAUGGUGGGUUGUGUUUACCGAAGCGACUAGGUCGCCCUUUUAUGUCUAAGAUGAUUAAGAAUCCACGUUGAUGCAUAUGAAUGUAAAUGAGGCAUAUAGAUGAUGCAUAUAAAUAUAAAUAAUGCAUGUUAAUAAUAUGAUGCAAAUGCUAAGUAGAUCCAUGUAAAAUGAUAUGUAUGUGUGUAUUUGGAAUAUAUGCUAGUUGCACUUAGCACUAUGAGUUCAUGCUAGAUAGUAAAUGCAUAUUGGCAUCAUAGAAUGUAUGCGAGAUGAAAUGUGGAUGUCUAUGGUAUUCGAUAUGACAAAUAGGAUGUCAGGUAGAUCGAGUGGCAUUAACCUAGUGUUAAUAAACAUAGGUCGAACAUAGAUGACAUUGAACCUAGUGUUGUUGAACCUAGGAUAAAUAACGAGUGGCAUUAAUCUAGUUGAUAGUAAACAAAAGAACAAGUGGCAUAUGUAAGUCAUAGUGUAUAUGAAACCUAUGGACUCUAUGAUGGUUGUAACCUUAGAGGAUAGGGUAUUCUCGUGACGAGGAUUGGAUCAUGCUCACGGUCUGUUUUAAAUCUUGUGAUGGAAGCCCCACACAAGUAGUGCGCUCCGGGGUUGGUCACGUGGUGCGCUCCGGAGUUGGUCACGUGGGAUUGCCUAUUUUGGGUCCCAAGGGAUUGCCUAUUUGGCCCCGCCAGACGGUCUCGGGUCCGUAGUGUGAGUUGAUUCUCCCUACGUGUCAAGAUGGCUAGUGAGCUGUAGGCGAGCCUUCGG
rnacentral:lncRNA from 1 species